UACGGGGGGGGCAAGCGUUGUUCGGAAUUACUGGGCGUAAAGGGUUCGUAGGUGGCUCGCUAAGUCAGACGUGAAAUCCCUCAGCUUAACUGGGGAACUGCGUCUGAGACUGAUGAGCUCGAGUGCAGGAGAGGAACGCGGAAUUCCAGGUGUAGCGGUGAAAUGCGUAGAUAUCUGGAGGAACACCGGUGGCGAAGGCGACAUCCUGGACCAACACUGACGCUGAGUGAGCGAAAGCGUGGGGAGCAAACAGG
rnacentral:rRNA from 1 species